rnacentral:rRNA from 1 species
AUUGAACGCUGGCGGAAUGCUUUACACAUGCAAGUCGAACGGCAGCACGGGGGCAACCCUGGUGGCGAGUGGCGAACGGGUGAGUAAUACAUCGGAACGUGCCCGGUCGUGGGGGAUAACGUAGCGAAAGUUACGCUAAUACCGCAUACGAUCUGAGGGUGAAAGCGGGGGACCUUCGGGCCUCGCGCGAUCGGAGCGGCCGAUGUCAGAUUAGGUAGUUGGUGGGGCAAAGGCCUACCAAGCCGACGAUCUGUAGCUGGUCUGAGAGGACGACCAGCCACACUGGGACUGAGACACGGCCCAGACUCCUACGGGAGGCAGCAGUGGGGAAUUUUGGACAAUGGGCGCAAGCCUGAUCCAGCCAUUCCGCGUGCAGGACGAAGGCCUUCGGGUUGUAAACUGCUUUUGUAUGGAACGAAAAGGCUCUGGCUAAUACCUGGGGCUCAUGACGGUACCGUAAGAAUAAGCACCGGCUAACUACGUG